rnacentral:SRP_RNA from 1 species
GCUGGGCAUGGUGAUGCAUGCCUUUAAUCCCAGCACUUGGGAGGCAAAGGCAGGCAGAUCUUUUGUGAGUUCAAGGCCAGCCUGGUCUACAUAGUGAGUUACAGGACAGCUGGGCCUACAAGGAGACCCUGUCUUAAAAUGACAAUAAAAAGAUUUUUUUGAGACAGGGUCUCCCUGUAGCCCCAGCUGGCCUGGAACUCACUGUGUAGACCAGGCUGGCCUUGAACUCACAGAGAUCUGCCU